GAGUUUCCGUGUCCGCUCCGCGAGAUAGAGAUACCCUUUUAAUUUUAUUUUGGGCGCAGAAUUUCUUCGAACAGUUUUCAUAGCUGCAAAGCUCCGAUCUUUGCCCUAACGGUCUGAUUUUGGGGUUGCCUCCCAUCAGCAUCAGAACCACAAAUUCGCCACCAUGACUGAGUAUUGGGUUAGCCAGGGCAACAAAUGGUGUGACUUCUGCAAAAUCUACAUAUCAAACAACCCUUCUAGCAUUAGAAAUCAUGAGCUUGGUCAGCGUCACAAGGAUAAUGUUGCUAAGAAGCUUGCUGAUAUGCGAAAAGAGAAAGUUGCAAAAGAGAAGGAAGAAAAAGAAGCAGAACGUGCCCUUCUGCAAAUUGAAGCAAAAGCUAAGCGCAGCUACCAAAAGGAUGUGGCAAGCUUUCAGGAGGCUAGAGAUGCCCGGGCAUUCGAUGUUGAAGAUGAUGGUCAAGAGAAAUGGCAGUAUAACAGUACGUCUGGUUAUUACUACAAUCAAAGUAACGGCUUUUACUAUGAUGCGAAUUCAGGUUUCUACUAUUCUGACGCUAUAGGAAAGUGGGUGGCACAGGAAGAGGCAUAUGCGAACCCGCAGUUUUUAUCAAAUGCUGGAUAUAAAGAAUCCAUUUUGAAAAGGCCAGGGUCAACUUCAGGGGCAGGACCAGCUACAGAAAACAAAGGUGCUGAUAAAUCUCAAAAUGGGCCUCCACCUGGGCCAGUGGUCUCAGCUUCUUUAAACCCUAUGAGAUCUGUUAAAGGUGCUCGUUCGUCGGUUUCUGUUGGAAAGAGAAAGAGGCAAGAGGAGAAGCCAAGGGCUAUAUCCGCACAAGAAGCAGCUGCACUUAAAGCGAGGGAGGCUGCAAGGAAGAGAGUUGAAGAGAGAGAGAAACCAUUACUUGGUCUUUACCGGCCGCAGUGAUUUGGCUGCUCAAGCAAGUUCAUAUCCUUAAGGACCUUAACACAAAGGAAGUCACGAAGACUUUUGAAUGCAACAACUCAUUUUAUGCAAUGGCUGGUCCUAAGUUGUUGGUUAUGUGAUCUCGCGUUACAUUUCGAUUGCCAAAAAUUGCUUGCUGGCAUUGCAAAUUUGGUUCUUCAAAAUGAUGGGUGUCUGAGCCUUCUUCAAUGUGCAACUGCUGGACAAUUAGGGUGAAAGUAAUCUCAUAUCUCUAGUACUUCUAUUUUUCUUUUACUUCCAACAUAUGAAUAUGGCCGAUGUAAUUCUAGUUUCAUUUUUCAACGAGGAACGUUAUCAUAACAAAGUAUUUAUGAGCUGAUAUUGGCUCGCAGGUGUGUAGUGUAGUAGUUAAAUGUUAGUUUUUGUUAAGCUCUUGUAUGACGUUUAGCGUAUAGAAAUAUUAAUGAAUGUUGUAACUGAGCAUGAAAUACGGAUACCAAGUACAUGACUACGUAGUCUUUGUUAUUGAGUUCUGAUGUUGAGCACAUGAUUUUAUGAGGUUAUGAUGGGGCUACGUAGAGCACCCAUUUGGUAAAGUUGUAAAAAUGCAAUACUGUCAAA